AUAGCGUGUAACUUUGCAACCUGUCCAAGAUCGUACCGAGCAGCCAUUUAGAAUCUCCGCUAUUGACUGACAUCUAAGUCAGACAAGCUCCGCUGAGUGAUGAGGUCAUUCCGAUCGUCACACGUCUGUAGUUAGGGACGAACAAUGUGACCUACCUUGAUUAAUGCUGCUCCCGUAAGAAAGGAAGCCUUAACCUGCAAGGGCUAUUGCAGAAGAUCGUCACCAGCAGCUAAGGUAUACGUAGGGGUGUCAGACGUUUAUCCCGGAAUGUUUUCGGGGUAGUGCGCGCGCCCGUCGAUUUCUUAAGUUGUUAUGUGCAUAGCCCCCGGCUCCACCCGGGGAGAGUCAUUAAAAACUUGAAAUUCUGCAGUAAAGGAGGAGGAAACCUGGAAUCCCAUAUGAAGCGUUGAAAUCCGUAGGGAUUUGCAGGAACACCAGUGGCGAAUGCGACUCUCGGGUUCGUAACUCACAGUGAGGCGCGAAAGCGAAGGGAGCAUUCAGGAUUAGAGUUCCUGGUAGUCCACACCCUAAUCGACGAGUCACAAGUAUUAGCGCGUUUCUGCUCUGCAGUCAAGUAGUUCAGUCUUCAAGCACUCUGCAUGGGGAGUCCGGCGGCUAGGCCGUCACUCAAAAGAAUCCACGGGCGCGCGCACAAGCGGCGGUGCAUGUGGAUUAAUUUGAAGCAACGCGAAGAACCUUAGCAGGUCUCGACAUCUUCUGAAAACCCUUGAGAUAGGGCUUCUUCUUGGGGACCAGAGUGUCAGGUGGCGCAUGGUCGUCGUCAGCAACAGUCUUGAGAUGUUGGAAUAAGUCCCGCAACGAGCGCAACCCUUGAUGUUAGUUGCCAUCAUUAAGUGAGCACUCUAAGGUGACCCUCGGUGACAAACCGGAGGAAGGUGGGGAUGACGUCAAAUCAUCAUGCCCUUUAUGACCUGGGCUACACACGUGCUACAAUGGACGGUACAAAGAGCUGCAAGACCGCGAGGUGGAGCUAAUCUCAUAAAACCGUUCUCAGUUCGGAUUGUCAAUUGCAACUCGCCUACAUGAAGCUGGAAUCGCUAGUAAUCGCGGAUCAGCAUGACGCGGUGAAUACGUUCCCCACCUAGUACACACCGCCUGUCACAUCACGAGAGUUUGUAACACCCGAAGUCGGUGGGGUCACCCGCUGGAGCUCAGACGCCUAACGUGAUAAAUUCU
rnacentral:rRNA from 1 species